ACCGCGCUUCUCGACCCUCCUUCACGAUCCGGAAGCUCCCCUCUAACUAUCGUGCGACGCGUCAGCGUACGGUGUGGCUGCCGUUUUGUGACACAUUGGGCAAGACAAAACGUGUCGUCUAGUUGCGUACGCUUCACGUAUCUUUUCAAAAGCUGAGGGUGGCUACAACCGAUUAGAAAAAGAAGCUCUUGCUGUAGUUUUUGGAGUUCGAUGGACAAGUCAUGUCACAGACUACGAGCUGAAGCCCUUCUUUCAAAGUCGGUGCGAGCUUUGUAGCAAGGCUGUCAUGCCGGAACGACGACGCUUGCGCGUCGUCGUUCUGGCAAAAUUUUAGAAGCACCUGCUGGACGAACUGCACCAGGGGCACCCGGGGAUCGUACGCACGAAGUGCCUGCCGAGGAGCUACGUCUGGUGGCCUACCGUUGACGAAGACAUGGAACGCAAGGAUAGAGUGCAAGCUCCCUGCAGUGUCUUCACCAGGUUCAGACAUCGUAAUCACACCGUCCGGGCUUAGGUGGAUGACCCACCACCUGAGGGGCAGGCUGGAGAUGUCGUCGCGAGCCAGCCAUCAUCUUGGCCUUCAGCAAGCUCAGCGGAGCUCACAGAGCCGCCAAUUACUGCAGCGGACCUGCCAGCGGACCUCCGGAAUGAAGCAUUAGUCUCAAAGGAUGCUGGAACCCUGCAAGUCCAAGACCGGUGCUACCCAAGCAGGGGCCGACGGCAACCUGAAAGUGUCCAGCCGUAGAAUUAUGUUUGUACUAUUAUCGUUUAUGUUAACGCAUGUCAAGUAAAUUAAGAAAGGAGGGGUGAUAAGAUUGCCUAAAAUGUUUCCCCCUCGCUUCAAGCGAGUGUUUCCCAUGCCAGCGGCUGAGACCAGAUAAACGAGCGUGCUCUGGAAGCCUGUAGCACUUCGUGCCAUACAGUCAUGCAGUAAACGUCUUUCAUAACUUGA